AAGAUGGCGACCGGCGCACGGGUGAGUAACACGUAUCCAACCUGCCGAUAACUCUGGAAUAGCUUUCGAAAGAAAGAUUAAUACCGGAUAGUAUACGAAUAUCGCAUGAUAUUUUUAUUUAAAGAAUUUCGGUUAUCGAUGGGGAUGCGUUCCAUUAGUUUGUUGGCGGGGUAACGGCCCACCAAGACUACGAUGGAUAGGGGUUCUGAGAGGAAGGUCCCCCACAUUGGAACUGAGACACGGUCCAAACUCCUACGGGAGGCAGCAUG
rnacentral:rRNA from 1 species